UAAUACAGAGGGUGCAAGCGUUAAUCGGAAUUACUGGGCGUAAAGCGUGCGUAGGCGGUUACUUAAGUUGGGUGUGAAAUCCCCGGGCUUAACCUGGGAACUGCACCCAAGACUGGGUAACUCGAGUCUGGGAGAGGGUGGUGGAAUUUCCGGUGUAGCGGUGAAAUGCGUAGAUAUCGGAAGGAACAUCAGUGGCGAAGGCGACCGCCUGGCCCAAGACUGACGCUGAGGCACGAAAGCGUGGGGAGCAAACAGG
rnacentral:rRNA from 1 species